ACAAGUAUGAAGAGAAUGUCGGGAGAGGAAGUGGUGGCUAUGAGUCAGCAUGAGUCAUCUCGUUCCAAUGAGAAUGAAGGCUGAGGUGUGCGCCUUUUUUUUUUUUUCCUUCUUAGUCGUGUGUACAUCAUUGGGAAUGGAGGGAAAUAAAUGACUGGAUGGUCGCUGCUUUUUAAGUUUCAAAUUGACAUUCCAGACAAGCGGUGCCUGAGCCCGUGCCUGUCUUCAGAUCUUCACAGCACAGUUCCUGGGAAGGUGGAGCCACCAGCCUCUCCUUGACAAGCAAAGUGGAUCAGCAAAGGCUGCAGUCACCAGCAUCUUUUCCAACCUUAAUGAACUGUAUCCUCAAAAGAACACUAUCAGACUGGUAAGACAAGCAUUAUUGUCCCACUUCACAGAUGAAGAGCUUGGGGGCCCUGUGGAUGUGUAGGAGAGUCGGCCUUCCUUUUUAUAGGCCUUUUGCUGAGCUCAGAGGACAGAGCAGAAGACAAAGCCGAAAGCAGCCCUAAGCAGACACUAUCCCAGCCCAAGGAGCUAUGCAGACAGCUCCUGCCUAGAGGAGAAACAAUUCUCUCCUUCAGCCAGGCAUGUGGCACAGAGGUGAACAGGAAAUGCUUAGGGAGACAGUUCACAGAUAUAUAUGUACUUCACAGGGCACAAUUUAAUCCAUAAAUCAAUCAUGGAUCACUGCUAAAGAAAACAAAAUAUGCUGCCACUAAUUUGCCACCACCCUGUGAGCAUGAUUGGAUGAUGUUUAUUUUGAUUAGGAGAUUGCUCCAUUUAUAAAUCUUCAAUACAUCCUGUCCCCCUAAAACGGCAUCUGGAUCUUUUGAGGGUUAAAAAAAAAAAAAGUGAAAUUGGAUGAGGGAUGAGAGCUGGACUUCUGUGUGUCCCGGGGUCUCUGGAUCCACAGCCUGGUGCCUAGCAUCAGUUAAGCCCACGCUGGGGUCGCAUCACAUCCCGCAAAGCCACGUGCUCUGUGAGGCCAACAGGAGCCCCGCCGGGUGGACCAGCUGGAAUCUCAGAGAGCGCCGACUCUGAAAAUACCCGGCUCUGCAGAAGCACGCUGGGCCCAGGGGGCUUCUAGACUGACAGC
rnacentral:lncRNA from 1 species